GCCCGGGUGGUGGAAUUGGUAGACACGCUAGGUUCAGGGUCUAGUCUCCUCAGGAGGUGCGAGUUCGACUCUCGCCUCGGGCACAA
rnacentral:tRNA from 1 species